CAGGCGCAGCUGACCUGCCUCGGGGACAGGAAGACACUGCGGGGCACGGCUGAGGCAAAGAUUCUGUCGGCUGAGGGGCCCGGCUGACCGGCCGCAGAGAUUUCCAGGACAUCCUGCCCUCCACCCAGCUGCCUCUGUCCACUGGAGCAAGGCGGAGCCCAGAAUUGCCAGGAUGGAGCAACCCCAGUCCCCCAGUCUCGGCCUCCCUGGGGAAAUGAGGCCCGGGAGACCCA
rnacentral:lncRNA from 1 species